rnacentral:rRNA from 1 species
UACGGAGGGGGCUAGCGUUGUUCGGAAUUACUGGGCGUAAAGCGCGCGUAGGCGGACCUGCAAGUCGGGGGGUGAAAGCCCGAGGCUCAACCUCGGAACUGCCUUCGAUACUGCGGGUCUCGAGUCCGGGAGAGGUGAGUGGAAUUCCUAGUGUAGAGGUGAAAUUCGUAGAUAUUAGGAAGAACACCAGUGGCGAAGGCGGCUCACUGGCCCCGGUACUGACGCUGAGGCGCGAAAAGCGUGGGGAGCAAACAGGG